CGUGAGUGAAGAAGGCCUUCGGGUCGUAAAGCUCUGUCAAGUGGGAAAAAAUACUCAGGGUAAAUAGCCUUGAGUCUUGAUGGUACCACUGGAGGAAGCACCGGCUAACUCCGUGCCAGCAGCCGCGGUAAUACGGAGGGUGCAAGCGUUGAUCGGAAUUAUUGGGCGUAAAGAGCGUGUAGGCGGUAUGGUAAGUCAGAUGUGAAAGCCCUGGGCUCAACUCAGGAAGUGCAUUUGAUACUGCUAUACUUGAGUAUGGGAGAGGAGAGUGGAAUUCCCAGUGUAGAGGUGAAAUUCGUAGAUAUUGGGAGGAACACCCGUGGCGAAGGCGGCUCUCUGGACCAAUACUGACGCUGAGACGCGAAAGCGUGGGGAGCAAACAGGAUUAGAUACCCUGGUAGUCCACGCCGUAAACGAUGAGAACUAGGUGUAGCGGGUAUUGACCCCUGCUGUGCCGGAGUUAACGCAUUAA
rnacentral:rRNA from 1 species